GACGAACGCUGGCGGCGUGCUUAACACAUGCAAGUCGAGCGGUAAGGCCCUUUCGGGGGUACGACGAGCGGCGAACGGGUGAGUAACACGUGGGUGACCUGCCCUUACGCUCUGGGAUAAGCCUGGGAAACGUGGGUCUAAUACCGGAUAUGACUCCAUAACGCAUGUUGUGGGGUGGAAAGCCUUGUGCGGCUAGGGAUGGGCCCGCGGCCUAUCAGCUUGUUGGUGGGGUGAUGGCCUACCAAGGCGACGACGGGUAGCCGGCCUGAGAGGGCGACCGGCCACACUGGGACUGAGACACGGCCCAGACUCCUACGGGAGGCAGCAGUGGGGAAUCUUGCGCAAUGGGCGAAAGCCUGACGCAGCGACGCCGCGUGGGGAUGACGGCCU
rnacentral:rRNA from 1 species